rnacentral:rRNA from 1 species
AUUGAACGCUGGCGGCAUGCUUUACACAUGCAAGUCGAACGGUAACAGGCCGCAAGGUGCUGACGAGUGGCGAACGGGUGAGUAAUGCAUCGGAACGUGCCCAGUCGUGGGGGAUAACGCAGCGAAAGCUGCGCUAAUACCGCAUACGAUCUAUGGAUGAAAGCGGGGGACCGUAAGGCCUCGCGCGAUUGGAGCGGCCGAUGUCAGAUUAGGUAGUUGGUGGGGUAAAGGCUCACCAAGCCAACGAUCUGUAGCUGGUCUGAGAGGACGACCAGCCCCACUGGGACUGAGACACGGCCCAGACUCCUACGGGAGGCAGCAGUGGGGAAUUUUGGACAAUGGGCGCAAGCCUGAUCCAGCAAUGCCGCGUGCAGGAAGAAGGCCUUCGGGUUGUAAACUGCUUUUGUACGGAACGAAACGGUCCGGGUUAAUACCCUGGGCUAAUGACGGUACCGUAAGAAUAAGCACCGGCUAACUACGUGCCAGCAGCCGCCGUAAAAC